rnacentral:rRNA from 1 species
CGUAGGGUAACCUGCGGAAGGAUCAUUG